rnacentral:rRNA from 1 species
CCCCAUAGUCUGGGAUACCACUUGGAAACAGGUGCUAAUACCGGAUAAGAAAGCGGAUCGCAUGAUCAGCUUUUAAAAGGCGGCGUAAGCUGUCGCUAUGGGAUGGCCCCGCGGUGCAUUAGCUAGUUGGUAAGGUAAAGGCUUACCAAGGCGAUGAUGCAUAGCCGAGUUGAGAGACUGAUCGGCCACAUUGGGACUGAGACACGGCCCAAACUCCUACGGGAGGCAGCAG